rnacentral:rRNA from 1 species
UGAGGAAUAUUGGUCAAUGGGCGCAAGCCUGAACCAGCUAUCCCGCGUGCAGGAAGACGGCCCUAUGGGUUGUAAACUGCUUUUCCAGGGGGAGAAUUUUUCUGUCGUGACAGGAAUUGACGGUACCCUGGGAAUAAGCAUCGGCUAACUCCGUGCCAGCAGCCGCGGUAAUACGGAGGAUGCGAGCGUUAUCCGGAUUUAUUGGGUUUAAAGGGUGCGUAGGCGGAUUGAUAAGUCAGUGGUGAAAACUUGCAGCUUAACUGUAGACUUGCCGUUGAUACUGUCAGUCUUGAGUGUGGUCAAGGUAGGCGGAAUGUGUAAUGUAGCGGUGAAAUGCUUAGAUAUUACACAGAACACCGAUUGCGAAGGCAGCUUACUGGGCCAUUACUGACGCUGACGCACGAAAGCGUGGGGAUCGAACAG